rnacentral:rRNA from 1 species
CGGCCUUCGGGUUGUAAACCUCUUUUAGUAGGGAAGAAGCGUAACAGUGACGGUACCUGCAGAAAAAGCACCGGCUAACUACGUGCCAGCAGCCGCGGUAAUACGUAGGGUGCAAGCGUUGUCCGGAAUUAUUGGGCGUAAAGAGCUCGUAGGCGGUUUGUCGCGUCUGCUGUGAAAACCCGAGGCUCAACCUCGGGCCUGCAGUGGGUACGGGCAGACUAGAGUGCGGUAGGGGAGAUUGGAAUUCCUGGUGUAGCGGUGGAAUGCGCAGAUAUCAGGAGGAACACCAAUGGCGAAGGCAGAUCUCUGGGCCGUAACUGACGCUGAGGAGCGAAAGCAUGGGGAGCGAACAGGAUUAGAUACCCUGGUAGUCCAUGCCGUAAACGUUGGGAACUAGAUGUGGGGACCAUUCCACGGUCUCCGUGUCGCAGCUAACGCAUUAAGUUCCCCGCCUGGGGAGUACGGCCGCAAGGCUAAAACUCAAAGGAAUUGACGGAAUCGAAUU